CCUAGUUGUGCACACUCCACUAUCCCAGUUCCCAUAUAAUAUAAACAUUUGGAGUUACAUACAAAAACAGGGGCUGAGACCAAGAGAGAAGUUCAACCUCAAGCAACUUGUACAUGACGCUGUAUCUACUGUACGAGUCGGCGUCUGGGUACGCGCUGUUCUUGGCUCAUGGAAUUGAUGAAAUUGGGCAGAACACGGAGGCGGUUCGCAACUCCAUCACUGAUCUCAAUCGGUUCGGAAAGGUCGUAAAGAUCGAAGCUUUUAACCCUUUUGAGUCAGCCCUUGACGCCCUCAAUCAAUGCAACGCUGUUUCUGAAGGGCAAAUGACUGAGGAGCUAAGGAACUUCUUGGAGCGAAGUCUCCCAAAAGUCAAGGAGGGUAAGAAGGCUAAGUUCAGUCUAGGAUUGGCGGAACCUAAGCUUGGGUCUCAUAUCCAUGAAGUAACUAAGAUACCCUGCCAAAGUAAUGAGUUUAUUCUUGAGCUUCUGCGUGGAGUGCGCUUGCAUUUUGAGAAGUUCAUUGAAAACCUAAAGCCUGGAGAUCUGGAGAAAGCCCAACUUGGUCUGAGUCACAGUUACAGCAGAGCAAAGGUCAAGUUCAAUGUUAAUCGUGUUGACAAUAUGGUUACUCAGGCAAUUGUCCUACUUGAUACUCUUGAUAAAGAUAUUAAUACCUUUGCCAUGCGAGUCAGAGAAUGGUACUCUUGGCAUUUCCCAGAGUUGGUGAAGAUUGUCAAUGACAAUUAUCUAUAUGCCAAAGUAGCAAAAUUUGUUGAUGACAAAUCCCAAUUGUCUGAAGACAAAAUUCCAGACUUAACAGAAAUCGUUGGAGAUGAAGAUAAAGCAAAAGAAAUCGUAGAAGCUGCAAAAGCAUCCAUGGGCCAGGAUUUGUCGCCAGUUGACUUGAUUAAUGUCAAGAUGUUUGCACAGAGGNGGAAAUACACCAAAAUAUGGACUCAUAUUCCAUUCUUCCUUCAUCGGCCGUGCAUCUGCUCGUAACAAAGGUCGAAUGGCUCGUUAUCUUGCAAACAAAUGUUCGAUUGCUUCUCGCCUAGACUGUUUCUUAGAUACGAGUACUACUACUUUUGGAGAGAAACUCCGUGAACAAGUUGAGGAGCGUCUAGACUUUUAUGACAAGGGGGUUGCACCACGGAAAAACAUAGAUGUGAUGAAAUCUGCUAUUGAAACAGUCGAAGGCAAAGAUACAGAAAUGGAUGUUGAUGAGCCUUCAACAAAGAAAAGCAAGAAAAAGAAAUCCAAAGUUGAGGUGGUGGAAUAUGCUCAACCCAUGAUCGAGGAUAAGCCACUUGUCACAAAUGGUGAUGCCUCUGAAGAACCAAAGUCUGAAAAGAAGAAGAAGAAGCGGAAAACAGAACAGGAGCCAGAGCAUGAAGAGGAUCAGACCAAUGGUGUGCCUGAGGAUGGAACAGCAAAGAAGAAAAAGAAAAAGAAGAGUAAGGAGGAAAAUGGAGAGGAACUCCAAGCUGCAAGCGAAGUUAAAAAGAAGAAAAAGAAGUCCAAAGUCCAAGAUGAUGAAUAAAGAUACAAUACUUCUUAUUUUGUCUGUCUUCCUCACCUUGCCUGUAUGCCCCGCCCUCGACCUCUUUUUGUAAUCCUAGGUAUUUGUGCCAUCUAGUAGUUUUGUUCCUGAACCAAGUUAUUGCUAGAGAGAGCCAUUGUAUGAAACGCUCAUCUUCUCUAUUAUUAACAGAUUGGCCUUAGUGAUUGCUUUCCUUUGAUGUGAGGUUGGUUCA